CAUACCAUGCUGAAUAUACCGGUUCUCGUUAGAUCACCGAAGUCAAGCAUCAUUGGGCGUGGUCAGUACUUGGGUGGGUGACCACCUGGGAACACCGCGUGCCGUU